UACAGAGGUCCCAAGCGUUGUUCGGAUUCACUGGGCGUAAAGGGUGCGUAGGUGGUGAGGUAAGUCGGAUGUGAAAGCUCGGAGCUCAACUCCGAAAUGGCAUUGGAAACUACCUUGCUCGAGGGUUGGAGGGGGGACUGGAAUACUUGGUGUAGCAGUGAAAUGCGUAGAUAUGUGGAGGAACACCAAUGGCGAAGGCAGCCCCCUGGGUCAACACUGACGCUCAUGCACGAAAGCGUGGGGAGCAAACAGG
rnacentral:rRNA from 1 species